rnacentral:rRNA from 1 species
AUUGAACGCUGGCGGCAUGCUUUACACAUGCAAGUCGAACGGCAGCGCGGGCUUCGGCCUGGCUGCGCGUGGCGCACGGGUGAGUAAUACAUUUGAACGUGCCCCGUAGUGGUGGAUAGCUCCUCGAAAGCCGGAUUACUACCGCCUACGACCUGCGGGUGAAAGCGGGGGAUCUUCGGACCUCUCGCUCUUGUGGCGGCCGAUGGCCGAUUAGCUAGUUUGUGGGGUAAAGGCCUACUAAGGCGACGAUCGGUAGCUGGUCUGAGAGGACGACUAGCCACACUGGGAGGGAGACACGGCCAAGACGCCUACGGGAGGCAGCAGUGGGGAAUGGUGGACAAUGGGGGAAAGCAUGAUCCAGCAAGGCCGAGUGUGUGAUGAAGGCCUUCGGGUUGGAAAGAACUUUUGGCGGGAACGAAAAGGACUGGGCUAAUACGACGGUUCGAUGACGGUACCCGCAGAAGAAGCACCGGCUAACUACGUG